rfam:Nicotiana attenuata strain TT chromosome 7, whole genome shotgun sequence.
ACGACCUUACUUGAACAGGAUCUGUUCUAUAGGCUUGUACCACUGUAUCCUUGAGUUCUAAGGAGACAGGAAACCAAGUCUGGUUGAUGAGGCAUGGCCAUUAGACCAGAGCGUGAUUAAUAGCCCCCACGGCCUUCGGGUAAUGGUGCCGUAGAUGAUCGUUCUUAGCCCCCAAUUAUGGAUGCUAGGAUGGUCUAAUGGCUCUCUGACAGACU